rnacentral:rRNA from 1 species
UACCAGACUCCUACGGGAGGCAGCAGUGGGGAAUAUUGGGCAAUGGGCGCAAGCCUGACCCAGCAACGCCGCGUGAAGGAAGAAGGCUUUCGGGUUGUAAACUUCUUUUAAGAGGGAAGAGUAGAAGACGGUACCUCUUGAAUAAGCCACGGCUAACUACGUGCCAGCAGCCGCGGUAAUACGUAGGUGGCGAGCGUUAUCCGGAAUGAUUGGGCGUAAAGGGUGCGUAGGCGGCCUGCUAAGUCUGGAGUGAAAGGUACCGGCUCAACCGGUACAGGCUCUGGAAACUGGCGGGCUAGAGAGCAGGAGAGGGCGGUGGAACUCCAUGUGUAGCGGUAAAAUGCGUAGAUAUAUGGAAGAACACCAGUGGCGAAGGCGGCCGCCUGGCCUGUUACUGACGCUGAGGCACGAAAGCGUGGGGAGCAAAUAGGAUUAGAUACCCUCGUAA